UACGUAGGUGGCAAGCGUUAUCCGGAAUUAUUGGGCGUAAAGAGGGAGCAGGCGGCAGCAAAGGUCUGUGGUGAAAGACUGAAGCUUAACUUCAGUAAGCCAUAGAAACCGGGCAGCUAGAGUGCAGGAGAGGAUCGUGGAAUUCCAUGUGUAGCGGUGAAAUGCGUAGAUAUAUGGAGGAACCCCAGUGGCGAAGGCGACGAUCUGGCCUGCAACUGACGCUCAGUCCCGAAAGCGUGGGGAGCAAAUAGG
rnacentral:rRNA from 1 species